rnacentral:rRNA from 1 species
GAUGAACGCUGGCGGCGUGCCUAAUACAUGCAAGUCGAGCGGACGAAUCGAAAGCUUGCUUUUGAUUCGUUAGCGGCGGACGGGUGAGUAACACGUGGGCAACCUGCCCUGUAGACGGGGAUAACACCGAGAAAUCGGUGCUAAUACCGGAUAACACGAAAUGUCGCAUGACGUUUCGUUGAAAGACGGCGCAAGCUGUCGCUACAGGAUGGGCCCGCGGCGCAUUAGCUAGUUGGUGAGGUAACGGCUCACCAAGGCGACGAUGCGUAGCCGACCUGAGAGGGUGAUCGGCCACACUGGGACUGAGACACGGCCCAGACUCCUACGGGAGGCAGCAGUAGGGAAUCUUCCGCAAUGGACGAAAGUCUGACGGAGCAACGCCGCGUGAGCGAAGAAGGCCUUCGGGUCGUAAAGCUCUGUUGUUAGGGAAGAACAAGUAACGCAGUAACUGGCGUUACCGUGACGGUACCUAACGAGAAAGCCACGGCUAACUACGUG